rnacentral:pre_miRNA from 1 species
UUAACUCAAAUUUGUAUAGAGUUGGAACGUUUGCCUACGUUUGCUGCUAGGAGCGCUGGUCAAACUGCAUACAGAUUUUAGUUA